rnacentral:rRNA from 1 species
CCUACGGGGGGCAGCAGUGGGGAAUAUUGCACAAUGGGGGAAACCCUGAUGCAGCGACGCCGCGUGAGUGAAGAUGUAUUUCGGUAUGUAAAGCUCUAUCAGCAGGGAAGAAAAUGACGGUACCACAGGAGAAAGCCACGGCUAACUACGUGCCAGCAGCCGCGGUAAUACGUAGGUGGCGAGCGUUGUCCGGAAUAACUGGGCGUAAAGGGAGCGUAGGUGGUUGAUUAAGUUAAAUGUGAAAGCCCAGGGCUCAACUCUGGAACUGCAUUUAAUACUGGUCGGCUAGAGUACAGGAGGGGUAAACGGAAUUUCUAGUGUAGCGGUGAAAUGCGUAGAUAUUAGGAAGAACACCGGAGGCGAAGGCGGUUUACUGGACUGCAACUGACACUGAGGCUCGAAAGCGUGGGGAGCAAACAGGAUUAGAUACCCCAGUAGUC